GGCAAAGUAAUGGAAUGGAGAUGAAGGGAAAAAAAAAUGUGCAGGAAUCAGGAGCAUAAUGCCACCAUGAACAAGCAGCUGUCUGGAUUUUUAAAGAGCAAAUUCCAUGAGACAAAUUUAAUUGCAUUUUUUAAUAGAAUUAAAAAAAAAAAAAACCUUCUACCACAUUAGUGGGUGAAGGCAACGAAAUGGAUGCAUCCAGAAAUCUCACUUGAAAGAUGAAUUCAACCGAGCGGAUUCUGAGCUCCGCUUCCGGGAUGGAAACCUGGCUGGAAAUGCCACGUGAGCAGCCGGUGGGCGGCUGCCGGUGGGCGGCUGUGCACUGGCUGGGAGACGGUGGCCAGCGGAGUGCUUCUGGCAGGCUCCGAGACGGGCCUGCAUCUACAGUGCGUCCUUAUUAAUGACUUGCAGGAGGUGAUGAGCAGAACAUUAAUUAAACGUGCACAUGUGGCCAAGUGGGAAAUUGGCGGCGAGAACAGCAGAGGCAGGCACAUAAUAUCCAGUCCUGUACGCCAUUGAGAAGAUAAAAAUGAAAAAAUCGAAGACAUUUGAUGCUGUAUUAAGGAGCAAGCCGACCUGACAGGCCUGAUCUUGGCACCCUAUCAACAUGUCCGGCUAGGAAACAGGACCAGCCAAUAUGUGGUUCCUAGCUUGCUUUCUCGUCAGUGGACCUGACACAGCACCAUAGCUCUGCCUGAGCCAUGGCAGCAUUUGAUGAAAAUUUCUUAUGCCCGGGAGUAUAAUCCACACAAAUUAUUCAGAUGUAAAACACAUUGUGAUCAAAAUUACCAGCCUCAGAGUCAUGUAGAUCCAAUGGCUGGGGAACAGUUGGGUCAUUUUCUUUUUUCAGGAUUGUGUCACCAAGUUUGGAAGGACGCUGGGCUUUGGACCAGGUCGCCAGCUCUGAGGACAGCCAUACAGAAAUGCUAGGGCAUGUGGUCUUUUGCUGGAAAUCGUCUUGAGAAUGGAUGAGUGUCCGUUUUUCCCAGUGGGACUUCUGCAGGAGGUGGCUGUCCUCUGGCUGAGAAAACCCUUUAUUGUCUUCAUAAAGAACAGUGUUAAUCAGGUGACAGCAGAUGCUGGCGAGGAUGCAGAGAAAGAGGAACACUCUUCCAUUGUUGGUGGGAUUACAGACUGGUACAACCAUUCUGGAAAUCAGUCUGGAGGUUCCUCAGAAAAUUGGACAUUGAACUACCUGAGGAUCCAGCUAUACCUCUCUUGGGCAUAUACCCAAAAGAUGCCCCAACAUAUAAAAAAGACACGUUCUCCACUAUGUUCAUCGCAGCCUUAUUUAUAAUAGCCAGAAGCUGGAAAGAACCUAGAUGCCCUUCAACAGAGGAAUGGAUACAGAAAAUGUGGUACAUCUACACAAUGGAAUAUUACUCAGCUAUCAAAAACAAUGACUUUAUGAAAUUCGUAGGCAAAUGGUCGGAACUGGAAAAUAUCAUCCUGAGUGAGGUAACCCAAUCACAGAAAAACACACAUGGUAUGCACUCAUUGAUAAGUGGCUAUUAGCCCAAAUGCUUGAAUUACCCUAGAUGCCUAGAACAAAUGAAACUCAAGACGGAUGAUCAAAAUGUGAAUGCUUCACUUCUUCUUUAAAAGGGGAACAAGAAUACCCUUGGCAGGGAAUAGAGAGGCAAAGAUUAAAACAGACACAGAAGGAACACCCAUUCAGAGCCUGCCCCACAUGUGGCCCAUGCAUAUACAGCCAUCCAAUUAGACAAGACGGAUGAAGCAAAGAAGUGCAGGCCGACAGGAGCCGGAUGUAGAUCUCUCCUGAGAGACACAGCCAGAAUACAGCAAACACAGAGGCGUAUGCCAGCAGCAAACCACUGAAUUGAGAAUAGGACCCCCGUUGAAGGAAUCAGAGAAAGAACUGGAAGAGCUUGAAGGGGCUCGAGACCCCUUAUGUACAACAAUGCCAAGCAACCAGAGCUUCCAGGGACUAAGCCACUACCUAAAGACUAUACAUGGACUGACCCUGGGCUCCAACCUCAUAGGUAGCAAUGAAUAUCCUAGUAAGAGCACCAGUGGAAGGGGAAGCCCUGGGUCCUGCUAAGACUGAACCCCCAGUGAACUAGACUAUGGGGGGAGGGCGGCAAUGGGGGGAGGGUUGGGAGGGGAACACCCAUAAAGAAGGGGAGGGGGAGGGGGGAGGGGGGAGGGGGGAGGGGGAUGUUUGCCUGGAAACCGGGAAAGGGAAUAACACUCGAAAUGUAUAUAAGAAAUACUCAAGUUAAUUAAAAAAAAAAGAACAGUGUUAAACAAA